rnacentral:rRNA from 1 species
CCUACGGGAGGCUGCAGUGGGGGAUAUUGCACAAUGGGGGAAACCCUGAUGCAGCGACGCCGCGUGUGGGAAGACGGUCCUCUGGAUUGUAAACCACUGUCCCCAGGGACGAAGAUGACGGUACCUGGGGAGGAAGCUCCGGCUAACUACGUGCCAGCAGCCGCGGUAAUACGUAGGGAGCGAGCGUUGUCCGGAAUUACUGGGUGUAAAGGGAGCGUAGGCGGGACUGCAAGUUGGGUGUCAAAUCUACGGGCUCAACCGGUAGCCGCACUCAAAACUGCAGUUCUUGAGUGAAGUAGAGGCAGGCGGAAUUCGUAGUGUAGCGGUGAAAUGCGUAGAUAUUAGGAGGAACACCAGUGGCGAAGGCGGCCUGCUGGGCUUUUACUGACGCUGAGGCUCGAAAGUGUGGGGAGCAAACAGGAUUAGAUACCCUUGUAGUC